CCUACGGGAGGCAGCAGUGGGGGAUAUUGCACAAUGGGGGAAACCCUGAUGCAGCGACGCCGCGUGGGUGAAGAAGCGCCUCGGCGCGUAAAGCCCUGUCAGCAGGGAAGAAAAUGACGGUACCUGAAGAAGAAGCCACGGCUAACUACGGGCCAGCAGCCGCGGUAAUACGUAGGGGGCAAGCGUUAUCCGGAUUUACUGGGUGUAAAGGGGGCGCAGACGGGGAAGCAAGCCAGGAGUGAAAGCCCGGGGCCCAACCCCGGGACUGCUCUUGGAACUGCGUGGCUAGAGUGCAGGAGGGGCAGGCGGAAUUCCUGGUGUAGCGGUGAAAUGCGUAGAUAUCAGGAGGAACACCGGUGGCGAAGGCGGCCUGCUGGACUGCAACUGACGUUGAGGCCCGAAAGCGUGGGGAGCAAACAGGAUUAGAUACCCGGGUAGUC
rnacentral:rRNA from 1 species